AUGCUUACUACUAUAAUCUAUACUACUGUUAUUGUCAUAUCUACUACUUGUGGUUCCCUCAAAUUAUCUAUAUCUGCUAUUGUCAUAUCUCUAUUCACAUGUACAGUCAAACAUCUUUGUACUACUACUGUUGUUGUAUGGCAAACACCAGAGGCAAAUCAUAUUUGUGAUGCAGUUUCUGUAACUUGGCAUUUCUACAUGGCUUGUUUAUAUUGGCAAUUAUACACUAACGAUGAUGUUUACCUGCACUGCUUAAUUUUGUUUAUCUUGAUCUUGAUGGACAAAACAUCACAUGUUUCUUUUCUGUCUAAGACAUAA
rnacentral:rRNA from 1 species